CGCACUAGCCGGGGAGGUAGCGGUGCCCUGUAUCUGCAAUCCGCUCUAGCAGAGGUUAUGUUCUUUUUGAGGUUUUAUCCUGUGGGGCUAGUCCUGUAAAUAUUGGUGUUGACGAUUGAGUCUUACGCAAUGGAAAUUUGUGAACCGUGUCAGGGUCGGAAGGCAGCAGCACUAAGCAAACACUUUCAUGUGAUGUGAGGUUGCUUGAUCUGAGUCAAUUUUACAGUAAACACUUGUAGGAUACUAUCG
rnacentral:SRP_RNA from 1 species